rnacentral:sRNA from 1 species
AAAUCUCUGCCUUCCGGCCAUGAAUACCG